CAGCCUCUCAAGUAGCUGGGACUACAGGCGCAUACCACCAUGUCAGGCUAAUAUUUAUUUUUAUUUUUUUCUGGAGGUGGGGGUCUCACUAUGUUGUUCAUGCUAGUUUCAAACUUCGGGCCUCAAGUGUUCCUCCUGCCUUGACCUCCCAAAGUGUUGGGCUUCUGGGUGGGAGCCACCAUGCUCAGCAGUCACAAGGGUCUUUAUAAAAGAAAGAGAGUAGGAGAUUCAGAAUUGAAGCAGGAGAUGUGGUGAUGAAAGCAGAGGUAAGAGAGGGAGAUUUGAAGAUGCUUCACUUCUGGCUUUGAAGAUGGAGUCAGGGGCCAUGAUCCAAAGAAUGGGGGUGGCUCCUAGAAGCUAGAAAAGCCAAGGGAACACUUUAGAGUCUCCAGAAGGAAUGCAGCCCUGCUGGCACCUUGACUUUAGCCUUAAUGGACCUAGUUUGGGUUUCUGGCGCCUAGAACUGUAAGAUGGUAGAUUUGUGGUGUUUUAAGCCACUAAAUGUAGGAAACUGCAAACUAUGUUGCAGCAGCAAGAAGAAAUGAACAUGAAGCCAGGCAUGAUGGCUCAUGCCGGUAAUCCCAGCACUUUAGGAAUUUAGGCAGGAGGAUCACUUGAGGCCAGGAGUUUAAGACCAGUCUGGGCAACAUAGUAAGACCUUGUCUCUACAAAAAAUGAAAAAACUGGCCAGGCAUGAUGGCUCACGCCUGUAAUUCCAGCACUUUGGGAGGCCGAAGCGGGCAGAUUACCUGAGGUCAGGAGUUCGAGACCAGCCUGGCCAACAUUGCGAAACCCCGGCUCUACUAAAAAUAGAAAAAUUAGCUGGGCGUGGUGGCACGCACCUGUAAUCCCAGCCACUUGGAAGGCUGAGGCAGGAGAAUCACUUGAAUCUGGGAAGUGGAGUUUGUAGUGAGCUGGGAUCGCACCAUUACACUACAGCCUGGGCAAGAAGAGUGAAACUCUGUCUCAAAAUAAAAUAAAAUAAAAUAAAAUACUAAAGAAUUUAGCCAAGCAUGAUGGUGUGAACCUGGAGUCCCAGCUACUCGGGAGACUGAGGUGGGAGGAUCGCUUGAGCCUGGAAAUUUGAGGUUGCAGUGAGCUUUGAUUGCACCACUGCACUCCAGCCUUGGUGACAGUGAGAUCUUGAAAAAAAGAAAGAAGAAAGUAAAGAAAGAAGAAAUGAGCAUGGUGGGCAUGGGGACAGAUGGCAAUGUUAAAUAGAAUGGUCAGGGGUGGCCUCCUAAGUGAAAAUUGAGUAAAGACUUGAAGGAGGGGAAGGAGCUGGCCAAGGUGCUGAGGGAAGAGGCUCGUAGACAGAAACAAUAGAAUAAAGUGUCUGAGGUGUGUCUGAGGCUCUGGAAGGAGGCCCAUGGAGCAGACGGAGAGAGGGAGAGAAUUCGGGGAGGGGGCCAGGGAGUUGCUGGGUGGGGAUCAGUACAGAUCACAUAAGCCCUGGGAGGUUAUUGCUGGGGCUUUGGCUUUUAGUCUGACUCAGAUGGGAACUGCGAGAAGGUUCUGAGCAGAGAGGCGACAUGAUCUGUCUCCCAUUUUAAAAGCGUUCUCUGGCUGCUGAGUUGAGAAAAGACUAUGGGAAGAUGUGGGUAGAAGCAUGGGGGCCAAGCUUUGGCAACAUCCAGGCGGGAGAUGAUGGUUGUCCUGACCAGGGCCAUGGUGGUGUUGAGAGAUGGUCAGAGGGGAGAAGUAGGGGAGGAGGCCAGGGAGUUGCUGGGUGGGGAUCUUUAGUACAUGUCGAAGACAGUCAACAGGAUUUCCUGACAGACUGGAUAUGGGGUGUGAGAGAAGGCAGGGGUCAAGGUUGAGUUUGAUUGUUACUGAAAUUAUUAAGUAAUUUUAAAAAACACUACUGCCUUUCCCAAUCCUACCAAGUAUGGGAUGCUAGAUUAAAGAAAUCUCUUCAGGCUCAUUGCAGUGGCUCAUGCCUGUAGUCCCAGCUGUUUGAUAAGCAGAGGUGGGAGUAUCUUUUAAGGGCAGGUGUUCAAGACCAGCCUGGACAACACAGCAAGAUCUGCUCUUUACAAAAAUAUUUUUCAAAAUGAAAUAAAUGUAGCUAGGCAUGGUGAUGUGUAUUUGUAGUUUCAGCUACUCAGGAGGCUGAAGUGGGCAGAUCUCUUGAGGUCAGGAGUUUGAGGCCAGCUUGGGCAACAUAGCAAGACCCCUCACUCUACAAAAAAAUUAAAAAAAUAACCAGGCAUGGUGGCACUCAACUGUACUACCAGCUACUGGGGAGCUGAGGCAGGAAGAUGGCUUGAGCCCGAGGUCGAGGCUGCAGUGAGCUGUAAGUGCACAGCUGCACUCCAGUCUGGGUGACAGAGCAGGACCUGUCUCACAAUACAAAUAAAAAUACAAGUAAAAUAAUGACAUCUCAAGUCAGAGCCUUUUGGCUCUGCAGCCCUUGCAACCCCUCAGCCGUGCAGUGGGGUUUGCGUCUCUGGGAAUGAGGAGACCCCUGCCCGGUGUUGUUGCCUGACUAAUCAUUGUUUUAAAACAUAUAUUAAUCGGGGUGGGCGUGGUGGCUCACACCUGUAAUCCCAGCACUUAGAGAGACCCAGGCGGGUGGGUCACCUGAGGUCAAGAAUUCAAGACCAGCCUUCUCUGGUCUUGAAUUCUAAGAAAAUACAAUAAUUAGCCGGACAUGGUAGUGGGCGCCUGUAAUCCCAGCUACUUGGGAGGCUGAGGUAGGAGAAUCGCUUGAACCUGCGGGACGGAGGUUGCAAUGAGCUGAGAUUGCGCCACUUCACUCCAGCCUGGGCAAAAGAACAAGACUUUGUCUCAAAGAAAAAAAAAAGUAUUAUAUCAACAUGUAAUGGUUUUAUCACUAAUAUGUAAUGAAUAUUAAAUAUUUUUAAAAUCUUGUAUUAUAUCAACAUGUAACGGCUUUAUUAAUAUGUAAUGAAUAAUAUUUAAAAUUUUUUGUCUUAUUUUCUAGUUUUAAUUAUUUACAGAAAGAAAUAGUCCUAGAGAUCUUCAAUAAAGUUAAAAAAUGUAAAGGGAUGUUAGACCCCAAAAGAUUGAGAAUUUCUAGUUUAGAAAUAUUCAGAGUAAGCCACAUACAACUUGCUACUUGAACUAUUUUUUUUCUUUGUGUUUUAUUUUAGGAGAUGGGGUCUCACCCUGUCACCCAGGCUUGAGUACAGUAGUGCUAUCACAGCUCACUGCAGCCUUGAACUCCUGGGCUAAGGAUCCUCCUACCUGAGCCUCCUGAGUAGCUGGGACUGGUCUCCCUCUCUUGUCCAAGGCUGGAGUGUAGUAGUGCUAUCACAGCUGACUGCAGCCUCAACCUUCCAGGCUGAAGCGAUCCUCCCAUCUCAACUUCCCACGUGGCUGAGACUAUAGGUGCUUGCCACUAUGCCCAACUAAUAUUUGGAAUUUUCCUAUAUGUGGAUUCCAGAGGGGUGACAGCGAAACGUGAGUAAGCAUGGAUUUUGGUAUAUGCAGAGAUGGGGGGCUGGAACUAAUUCUGUAUACUGAGGGACGACUGUAUAUGUUUUUACAAUUACGCUGUAGGAUACAUACUGUUGCAUAGCCUUGAAAAUAAUAAUUUUUAAUUGAGUGGAAUAAUAAUAAUAUUGAUAAAAGUAGCAGCUGGCCAGGUGUGGUGGCUCACACUGGUAAUCGCAACACUUUGGGAGGCUGAGGCAGGAGGAUGGCUUGAGGCCAAGAGUUUGCGAUAGGCCUUGGAAACAAAGGGAGUCACCAUCCCUACAGAAAAAUACAUGAAUUGGCCGGGCGCGGUGGCUCACGCCUGUAGUCCCAGCACUUUGGGAGGCCGAGGCGGGC
rnacentral:lncRNA from 1 species